AUGAACGCUGGCGGCGUGCCUAAUACAUGCAAGUCGAGCGAACGGCCGAGAAACUUCCUUUUCUGAUGUUAGCGGCGGACGGGUGAGUAACACGUGGAUAACCUACCUAUAAGACUGGGAUAACUUAGGGAAACCGGAUCUAAUACCGGAUAAUAUUUUGCACCGCAUGGUUCAAAAGUGAAAGACGGUCUUGCUGUCACUUAUAGAUGGAUCUGCGCUUCAUUAGCUAGUUGGUAAGGUAACGGCUUACCAAGGCAACGAUGCAUAGCCGACCUGAGAGGGUGAUCGGCCACACUGGAACUGAGACACGGUCCAGACUCCUACGGGAGGCAGCAGUGGGGAAUAUUGGACAAAGGGCGAAAGCCUGACGGAGCAACGCCGCGUGAGUGAUGAAGGUCUUCGGAUCGUAAAACUCUGUUAUUAGGAAAGAACAUAUGUAUAAGUAACUGUGGACAUCUUGACGGUACCUAAUCAGAAAGCCCCGGCUAACUACGUG
rnacentral:rRNA from 1 species